UCCAGACUCCUACGGGAGGCAGCAGUGGGGGAUAUUGCACAAUGGGGGGAACCCUGAUGCAGCGACGCCGCGUGGGUGAAGGAGCGUUUCGGCGCGUAAAGCCCUAUCGGCAGGGAAGAAGGAGGACGGUACCUGACUAAGAAGCCCCGGCUAACUACGUGCCAGCAGCCGCGGUAAUACGUAGGUGGCAAGCGUUGUCCGGAAUUACUGGGUGUAAAGGGAGCGCAGGCGGGAAGCCAAGUCAGCUGUGAAAACUACGGGCUUAACUUGUAGACUGCAGUUGAAACUGGUUUUCUUGAGUGAAGUAGAGGUUGGCGGAAUUCCGAGUGUAGCGGUGAAAUGCGUAGAUAUUCGGAGGAACACCGGCGGCGAAGGCGGCCAACUGGGCUUUAACUGACGCUGAGGCUCGAAAGUGUGGGGAGCAAACAGGAUUAGAUACCCCUGUAA
rnacentral:rRNA from 1 species